UUGCACGCUGGCGGCAGGCCUCACCCAUGCAAGUCGAGCGGAUGAAGGGAGCUUGCUCCUGGCUUCAGCGGCGGACGGGUGAGUAAUGCCUAGGAAUCUGCCUGGUAGUGGGGGAUAACGUCCGGAAACGGGCGCUAAUACCGCAUACGUCCUGAGGGAGAAAGUGGGGGAUCUUCGGACCUCACGCUAUCAGAUGAGCCUAGGUCGGAUUAGCUAGUUGGUGGGGUAAAGGCCUACCAAGGCGACGAUCCGUAACUGGUCUGAGAGGAUGAUCAGUCACACUGGAACUGAGACACGGUCCAGACUCCUACGGGAGGCAGCAGUGGGGAAUAUUGGACAAUGGGCGAAAGCCUGAUCCAGCCAUGCCGCGUGUGUGAAGAAGGUCUUCGGAUUGUAAAGCACUUUAAGUUGGGAGGAAGGGCAGUAAGUUAAUACCUUGCUGUUUUGACGUUACCAACAGAAUAAGCACCGGCUAACUUCGUG
rnacentral:rRNA from 1 species